GAAGAACGCUGGCGGCGUGCUUAACACAUGCAAGUCGAACGGAAAGGCCCUGCUUUUGUGGGGUGCUCGAGUGGCGAACGGGUGAGUAACACGUGAGUAACCUGCCCUUGACUUUGGGAUAACUUCAGGAAACUGGGGCUAAUACCGGAUAGGAGCUCCUGCUGCAUGGUGGGGGUUGGAAAGUUUCGGCGGUUGGGGAUGGACUCGCGGCUUAUCAGCUUGUUGGUGGGGUAGUGGCUUACCAAGGCUUUGACGGGUAGCCGGCCUGAGAGGGUGACCGGCCACAUUGGGACUGAGAUACGGCCCAGACUCCUACGGGAGGCAGCAGUGGGGAGUAUUGCACAAUGGGCGGAAGCCUGAUGCAGCAACGCCGCGUGCGGGAUGACGGCCUUCGGGUUGUAAACCGCUUUCGCCUGUGACGAAGCGUGAGUGACGGUAAUGGGUAAAGAAGCACCGGCUAACUACGUG
rnacentral:rRNA from 1 species